GUGAAUCAUCAAAUUUUUGAACGCAAAUUGCACUUCCUGGCAUCCCGGAGAGUAUGCCUGUUUGAGGGUCAGUAUUAAUAAAAAUCGGUUUGGUUGCCGCCUUGCGUGGUGUCGGACCGUAUGGGUGUCUUCACUUUUUUGGUUAAGUGGCUUAAAAUUUAGCUUGAUUGUGUACGAAUGUACUUAGAUGAUUUUUUUUAUUAUUG
rnacentral:misc_RNA from 1 species